rnacentral:rRNA from 1 species
GACGAACGCUGGCGGCGUGCUUAACACAUGCAAGUCGAACGGAAAGGCCCUGCUCUUGCUCGGUGCUCGAGUGGCGAACGGGUGAGUAACACGCGAGUAUCCUGCCCUUGUCUUUGGGAUAACUUCUGGAAACUGGGGCUAAUACCGGAUAUGAUCUCCUGCUCCAUGGUGGGGGUUGGAAAGAUUCGGCUGUUGGGGAUGGACUCGCUGCUUAUCCGCUUGUUGGUGGGGUAGUGGCUUACCAAGGCUUCGACGGGUAGCCGGCCUGGGAGGGGUACCGGCCACAUUGGGACUGAGAGACGGCCCAGAAUCCUACGGGAGGCAGCAGGGGGGAAUAUGACAGAAUGGGCGGAAGCCAGAUGCAGCAACGCCGCGAGCGGGAAGACGGCCUUCGGGUGAAAAACCGAUGUCGACGGUAACGAGGCGUGAGUGACGGUAAUGGGUAAGGAAGCACCGGCUAACUACGUG